rnacentral:rRNA from 1 species
UACGGGGGGGCAAGCGUUGUUCGGAAUUACUGGGCGUAAAGGGCUCGUAGGUGGCCAACUAAGUCAGACGUGAAAUCCCUCAGCUUAACUGGGGAACUGCGUCUGAUACUGGAUGGCUUGAGUUUGGGAGAGGGAUGCGGAAUUCCAGGUGUAGCGGUGAAAUGCGUAGAUAUCUGGAGGAACACCGGUGGCGAAGGCGGCAUCCUGGACCGGCAUUGACGCUGAGGAGCGAAAGCCAGGGGAGCAAACGGG